rnacentral:rRNA from 1 species
UACGGCGAGUGAGAGGAAGAGCUCAAAGUUGGAACCUGUUUGGCCUAGCUAAACCGGAUUGUAAACUGCAUAAGUGUUUUCCUGGCACGCUUGGUAAAUAAGUCCUUUGGAACAGGGCAUCAUAGAGGGUGAGAAUCCCGUCUUUGGCCAAAGCAGUGUCUUUUGUGAUACACUUUCAAAGAGUCAGGUUGUUUGGGAAUGCAGCCUAAAUUGGGUGGUAAAUCUCACCUAAAGCUAAAUAUCUGCGAGAGACCGAUAGCGAACAAGUACCGUGAGGGAAAGAUGAAAAGAACUUUGAAAAGAGAGUUAAACAGUACGUGAAAUUGUUAAAAUGGAACGGUUUGAAGCCAGACUGGCUUGGUUGUAAUCAGUCUAGGAUUCGUCCUGGAUGCACUUGCAGCCUAUUGCCUGCCAACGACAGUUUUUCUUGGGGGAAAAAACUGGGGGAAAUGUGGCCCUUCGGGGUGUUAUAGUCCCUUUGAAAAUACCCUGGGAGAGACUGAGGAACGCAGUGAAUGCCUUUAGGCAAGAUUGCUGAGCGCUUUUGUUGAUACAUGCUAGAAUUUCUGCUUCGGGUGGUGCUAGUGUGUAAAGGCAGAACCCGCCUAGUAUAUUUUUCAUUCACUUAGGUUGUUGGCUUAAUGACUUUAAAUCACCCGUCUUGAAACACCGGACCAAA